ACAUUUCAAAGUUAUGGUCUGAAAGAUUUUGCCUUGUCGAUCGAUUGACAAUCCCAGCAAAGGAAAAAAUCUUUCCACUGGCGCAGUUACAAAACUACUUCAGUUGCUAUAGCUCCGCCAUGGCAACACGUAUACCGAUUUUCAUCUAAAAAAGCAAAUUAUUUACAAAACUUUUGCAGUUUUGUGAAGUGGUCCUGGUCAGACGCAUCAAUUUUAAUCAGCCCCAGUGGAAACAACGUGUGCCUUUUCGCUUCAAUACAUUAUACACUUUUUAGCGCGCUGCUGGAUUUCAAUAAAAGACGCAUCAGUUGCAAAUAGCCCUUAGCAAAAGAUGGCAAGUAAUAAAAAGUUGGAAGUACACUGCUCUCCUGGUACAUUCCGUAGAGUUGAAAGUGAUCAAGACUAUCGCGUACAAAUAGCUUGUCAGCAUGCAGGCGAUGAAGCCUAUGAAGAAAUUAUUUUCACGCAGGGUGUUGCUGGCAUGGCAACUGCUGCAAUCGAUGAAUCUCGAACAGUACCGAACGAAAGCAUAUGUACUUUGUUCCCAUUCCCGGUGGAAGCAGCCAGGAAAAGAAAUUGUUAUGGCUCGAUGCCCCUACGAAAGUUUUGCUUGCGCUGGUGAAGGAGUUGUGACCUAAGGUUGGGAAGACUGCUAACCUAAGAAAUAAAAAGCAAAUGUGGAACACCAUCACGAACGAGCUCUGCGCUAAAGGGCAUUUUUAUAAUGCUGCGCAGGUGGAGGGCAAGUUUUUCACUCUGGAGCGCCGCUACAAAAAUGUUCAGCUCCACAACUCCCAAACAGGCAGAGAAAGACAAACUUGUCCUUAUCAAGCUGAACUGGAUGAAAUUUUUAAAGAAUGAGCAUCAGUUCAUCCGGAAUACGUUAUCGAUAAUGAGGUUGAAGUGUCGGCUGAAGCGGAUGAAGGUUCCUCGCCAGCUUCUCCAGCCUCUCCAGUUUUAGACGCGGCACCUUCUACCUCGAGAAAAAGAAAGUCAGCAAUAGAGUAGUUUAUGGAGAAAACGGGGCUUCGCGAUGCUAAACGGGAAAAAAUUGACGAAAAUCUGCAAAAGUUGCUGGAGGAGAACAUAAGAAUUAAGGAGGAAAGCAUGAGGAGAAAGGAAGCUCGUGCUGAAAGAAGAGAACAGCUACAGACUGAAAAAAAUUCUAUUUUAAAAUCUUUAGUAGAUCUUUUAAAAAGAUGAGUAUACCUAUAUCCAUGUACAAGAAUAAGAAAAUUCAGUAAAAGUUUCAUUUCAACAUUUCAAACUUUUUAAUCAGAUUUUUUAGAAAAAUGUUUGGUGUGCAGUUUCAAUAAUUGUUUUGUUGGCGGUGUUAUUUUUUUUUAUAUAAAAUAAAUUCGAAAACACUUUGUA